rnacentral:ncRNA from 29 species
AGGGAAGCCGGUGUGAAUCCGGCGCACUCCCGGUGCUGUAAGAAGGAACGAAAUUCCAGAGCCACUGUCUCGCCUCCGGCGGACGGGAAGGCGGAAGAGUAGGUUGGACCUUCGAGCCAGAAAACCU